rnacentral:misc_RNA from 1 species
UUGCGGAGACAGUAUAAAAGAUUUUGUUCGAAGGGGGCAACAGUUGAAAAUUCUGCCUCUACCAGGUGACGUUGAUAUGAUAUGUGGGGGUCCUCCUUGCCAGGGCAUCAGUGGAUAUAAUCGCCACAGAAAUACUGAUGACCCAUUGUCUGAUGAAAAAAAUCGUCAAAUUAUUAUAUUUAUGGAUGUUGUGGAAUUCCUACGGCCUAAAUAUGUGUUGAUGGAAAAUGUUGCUGACAUAUUGAGGUUCGAUAAAGCAUCUCUUGGAAGAUAUGCUUUAAGCCGUUUGGUACAUAUGAGAUACCAAGCAAGACUUGGAACUAUGGCAGCUGGUUGUUAUGGUCUUCCACAAUUCCGAUUGCGAGUUUUCUUUUGGGGUGCACUUCCAAGUGAGAGGUUGCCCCCAUUUCCACUUCCUUCGCAUGACGUGAUUGUUAAAUAUUGGCCCUCACCUGAAUUUGAGCGUAAUACUGUUGCUUAUGAGGAAGGACAACCACGUGACCUUGAGGAAGCUCUUGUUCUUCGUGAUGCGAUAUCUGAUAUGCCAGCUGUCACAUGGCAUGAAACUCGUGAAGAAAGGCCAUAUGAGAUGCCCCCUGAAACAGAGUUCCAGAAAUACAUAAGAUUAUCUAAACAUGAGAUACUGAGUUGUACAUCAACUGGAGUCAAGGAAACAAAAGAACCUGUUUUGUCUGAUCAUCGGCCUUGCCAACUAAACGAGGACGAUUACUUGCGAGUUUGUCUAGUCCCACGUAGAAAGGGAGCAAAUUUCAGGGACCUCCCUGGUGUAAUUGUAGGAGGGGAUAAUGUGGCUCGUCGUGAUACUAAAGAUCCAAAGGUUCUACCAAACGGAAAGCCCAUGGUUCCUGACUGUGCCUUUAACUUUGA